UCCAGUUCAAAGGGGAGGAAAAAGAAAAAAGAAAGAAAGAAACAAAGAAAAACCACUUGGGGAAUAAUAGGGCCUACGCCCGGCUGCUCUGCAGCUGGCUCGGGCCCUAACUAGGGCCCCGGUGGGGCACUGUCGGGCCCGAGCCGCGUUGCGCCGCCCCCAGCGCGACCGCCUCCCCCUCCCGAUCGCGUCACACUCAAGGUCCAAAGAUGGUGUGCGCACUUGUCUGUGGUCAUUUCCCAUUAUAAUGAAUGGGAGGCGCAGUUUCUACCAAAACACUCGCUGCAGACAAACUACAUGUCCUAUUUGAAAAAAGUCUGGACCAUGAGUGAGGGCACAAACACAGCUAGGAUAUAUCCAAACGGCAAGUUGCUCCUUGUUACGGUGUUGCCGGGAGAGUGAUGCGAUUGAGCCAUUGAGUGAUGGGCAGGAAAAACUUGACUGUUUCUCCUGCCAUGGGGGUUGGGGGAUGGGGGGGGAUGUGGAUUCUUUUAAGAAUGUGGAUAUUUGGGUCAUCUUUGGCGCCCCCUAGAACGUAAACCGUGGGGUGCAGCGUCAUGAUUUUUACAAAUUUGAAUGACCAUGGGGUGUAGAUUGGCCUGAGCAAAUUUGGUGUCAGUGGGACGAAAGCCUUAGGAGGAGUUAGCCACAUUCCAAUGUGUGCGAAUCGGCAAAAAAUGCAAAAUAGCCCUUUAACCGUACAUUUGACAGAUACGCGCGCAUUGACUUUUUUGUAGAUCUUAUUGAGAUACAUGUGAUUGUCAAAUUUUGUGUCAAUAUGAUAAAGCGUACAGGCGUGACAGUCAAUAGUGUGAAUUUCCACCUUAGGGGACAAGAAAAAAUUGACUUUUUUCUCCUGCCAUGGGGGGGGCGCUCUUUUGGGGAGUAAAAAUUCCUUCACAAAUGUGUUGAUGGCUGGACAUUGCAUCAUCCUAGAAAACUUGGAGGCCAGUGAGGACAAAAAUAAAAAGUUAUAAGACUUUUAAAUAUGUGGAUUUUAGGGUUAUCUUUGGCGCCCCCUAGAACCUAAACCGUGGGGUGCAGCGUCAUGAUUUGAAUAACUUUUAAUGGCCAUGGGGUGUAGAUUGGCCUGAGCAAAUGUGGUGCCGGUGGAACGAAAGCCUUCGGAGGAGUUAGCGAAAUUCCAAUGUGUGCGGAUCGGCAAAAAAUGCGGAAUAACCCUUUAACCGUACAUUUGACAGAUACGCGCGCAUUGACUUUUUCGUAGAUCUUAUUGAGAUACAUGUGUGUGUCAAUUUUUGUGUCAUUUUGCCAAAGCGUACAGGUGUUACACUCAACAAUGUGUAUUUUCACCUUAGGGGACAAGAAAAAAUGGACUUUUUUCUCCUGCCAUGGGGGGGCGCUCUUUUGGGGAGUAAAAAUUCCUUCACAAAUGUGUUGAUGGCUGGACAUUGCAUCAUCCUAGAAAACUUGGAGGCCAGUGAGGGCAAAAAUAAAAAGUUAUAAGACUUUUAAAUAUGUGGAUCUUAGGGUUAUCUUUGGCGCCCCCUAGAACCUAAACCGUGGGGUGCAGCGUCAUGAUUUGAAUAACUUUUAAUGGCCAUGGGGUGUAGAUUGGCCUGAGCAAAUGUGGUGCCGGUGGAACGAAAGCCUUCGGAGGAGUUAGCGAAAUUCCAAUGUGUGCGGAUCGGCAAAAAAUGCGAAAUAACCCUUUAACCGUACAUUUGACAGAUACGCCCGCACUGACUUUUUUGUAGAUCUUAUUGAGAUACAUGUGUGUGUCAAUUUUUGUGUCAUUUUGACAAAGCGUACAGGCGUGACAGUCAAUAGUGUGAAUUUUCACCUUAGGGGGCGCUAUGGAGCCAUUUUGCAUUUUCUUGUUUGGGCGACUUCGGAAUAUCAAAUUUUUCACCAGGCCCGGUCGUCCUGCCAAAUUUCAUGAGUUUUCGCCAGUGGGAAGUGGGCCAUUUUCCAGUUCAAAGGGGAGGAAAAAUAACUAGGGCCCCGUUGGGGCACUGGCGGGCCCGAGCCGUGUCGCGCCGCCCCCAGCGCGACCGCCUACCCCUCCCGAUCGCGUCACACUCAAGGUCCAAAGAUGGUGUGCGCACUUGUCUGUGGUCAUUUACCAUUAUAAUGAAUGGGAGGCGCAGUUUCUACCAAAACGCUCGCUGCAGACAAACUCCAUGUCCUUUUUGAAAAAAGUCUGGACCAUGAGUGAGGGCACAAACACAGCUAGUAUAUAUCCAAAUGGCAAGUUGCUCCUCCUUUCCGUUUUGCCGAGAGAGCGAUGAGUUUGAGCCAUUGAGCGAUGGGCAGGAAAAACUUGACUUUUUCUCCUGCCAUGGGGGGGCGCUCUUUUGGGGAGAAAAAAUUCCUUCACAAAUGUGUUGAUGGCUGGACAUUGCAUCAUCCUAGAGAACUUGGAGGCCAGUGAGGACAAAAAUAAAAAGUUAUAAGACUUUUAAAAAUGUGGAUAUUUGGGUCCUCUUUGGCGCCCCCUAGAACGUAAACCGUGGGGUGCAGCGUCAUGAUUUGUACAACUUUGAAUGGCCAUGGGGUGUAGAUUGACCUGAGCAAAUUUGAAGCCGAUGGGACAAAAGCUUUAGGAGGAGUUAGUGAAAUUCCAAUGUGUGCGAAUCGGCAAAAAAUGCGAAAUAGCCCUUUAACCGUACAUUGAACAGAUACGCUCGCAUUGACUUUUUCGUAGAUCGUAUUGAGAUACAUGUGUAUGUCAAUUUUUGUGUCAUUUUGACAAAGCAUACAGGCGUGACAGUCAACAAUGUGUAUUUUCGCCUUAGGAGACAAGAAAAAAUUGACUUUUUUCUCCUGCCAUUGGGGGGCGCUCAUUUGGGGAGUAAAAAUUCCUUCACAAAUGUGUUGAUGGCUGGACAUUGCAUCAUCCUAGAGAACUUGGAGGCCAGUGAGGACAAAAAUAAAAAGUUAUAAGACUUUUAAGACUGUGGAUUUUUGGGUUAUCUUUGGCGCCCCCUAGAACGUAAACCGUGGGGUGCAGCGUCAUGAUUUGUACAACUUUUAAUGGCCAUGGGGUGUAGAUUGGCCUGAGCAAAUGUGGUGCCGUUGGAACGAAAGCCUUCGGAGGAGUUAGCGAAAUUCCAAUGUGUGCGGAUCGGCAAAAAAUGCGAAAUAACCCUUUAACCGUACAUUUGACAGAUACGCCCGCACUGACUUUUUUGUAGAUCUUAUUGAGAUACAUGUGUGUGUCAAUUUUUGUGUCAAUAUGACAAAGCGUAAAGGCGUGACAGUCAAUAGUGUGAAUUUUCACCUUAGGGGGCGCUAUGGAGCCAUUUUGCAUUUUAUUGUUUGGGCGACUUCAGAAUAUCGAAUUUUUCACCAGGCCCGGUCGUCCUGCCAAAUUUCAUGAGUUUUCGCCAGUGGGAAGUGGGCCAUUUUCCAGUUUAAAGCGGAGGAAAAAUAAUAAUAAUAAUAAUAAUAACAAAAGAAGAAUCCAUCAGGAACAAGAGGGCUCUCGCAGCUGCUUAGCAGCUACGCUCGGGCCCUAACUAGGACCCCGUUGGGGCACUGGCGGGCCCGAGCCGUGUCGCCCCCCCCCAACGUGCUGCCUCCCCGUCCCAUUUGUGUCCUCUGGCCAUCGCCCUCUCUGGUAACGCCCAUCACUGCAAAGACCCUUUUCCUUCAUCGGCGUUUGCUGUUCUUCCUGCCAGUGCGUGUUGCUUUCACUUACACUUGCCACAGCCAGCCUCGUGAGUGCCUAGCCUAUUCGAUAUCACUGUCACCUACACAGGACAGUCAUUACCUUUCUAUUAAUACUUUGUGUUUUAAUUUCACAUUAAUUUCCAUAUUGUAUAAACGACUGGAAAAAACUUGAGCCCCUGCCCCUGUAUAAUCAUGUGCAUGUCUCUGUUCUAGCUCCAAGGUGAAUCUUCACUGCUCAUGUUCUCCUCAGAAGCACUCACCUCACUCCCCUCAGGUUACUGUACACAUGCACCAACUGCCUGCUUCAGGUUUGGAUGGAGCUUCAUGGUUGUCUUUUGGAGAAAUGACCAGUCAAGUUGUGUUUGAAAUUUGAUUUUUUUCAGGGGCAAAAGGAGCCUCUGCAUUCUUGUCAAAUAUGUAAAUGGCAUGUUUUUGCAGGUGCUAAAAACCAGACUCUGAGUGUGUGUGUGUGUGUGUGUGUGUGUGUGUGUGUGUGUGUGCGUGUGUGUGUGUCUGUGUGUGCGUUCAAGUCACAUGACAUAUUUAACCGGAUGUAGCUGCAAGACGGAGCCUCGUUGACUCUCCGUUUCAACUUAUCUCAAAAGUGAGGACCUCAACCUAUAUACCAGUUUUUAAAUUGUGUUGAUAGGCCAAAUAAAACCAGAGUUAUGAUAAAUUAUGUCCGCGAUACUUUUUUCUGCUUAUUUUGAUCACAUUCGGCGCUCGAUCGCGCUGUAUGAGACAGGAAAACAUAGCAUGCAGACAUUAGCGACAGGUCUUACAGGCGGAAAAGGCUUGCCAAAAGAAAAAAAAAACACACCACAACAUCUCUCCUAUUGGUGGAAAACUUCACCACAACAACCAAUCCAAAAUUAUAUGGUGACUGAUUGACAAGGGGCGGGCGCUUACGUUCUUCCUGCAACAUGAGAAGCGAGGGAGGGACUCUCAGCAGGGAUGCAGUCUGGGACACGUAGUUGCAAACCUAGCGACUUUGUUGUUAGAUUCAAUGACUUUUCAGACCCCCUAACGACUUUUUUUUAGAAAGAAAGGGACUUUUAUCGACUUCUUCUGGAGUUUAGAGACUCUGACAUGAAGCAGGCUUUCCUUACUGAGGAGUUAGCAACGCUGCUAAGGGUGCAGAGCCACACAUGCGCUCAGAGCUCUGCAUGGGAGACUGAAGCUGACAGAGCUGCAGCAGUUAGCAGGUUUCACCCUCAGAGACCACCAGGGGUUCAUGUUGAGGCAUUUUAAUUUUUUUUUUUUUUGUGCCAUAGACACUGUCAGCACAAUCUGCAGUUACACUAACAAAAAUGCUGCAAAAAACAAAGAAUUAUGGAAAAAUUACACAUGGACUGACAUAGAGGAGGAUCUACACAAGUUUUUUACAUCAUGUUUUACAUCAUGCAUCAUUUACAUCAUGUUUUUUUGUAGUGGCAUAAAUAAAAAGUGACAUUUGUGAGACUAUACAGUGUUUUGUAAAUAAUUUUACAAAGAACGCCUGGGCCAUUGCCUGCAUUUUGAUGUAAAUAGAGGUAAAUCACUAUGUUCUUUGUUAAAAAUUUGCAUAUGUUUUGAAGUUUACAAUUUUUAUUUGAAGUUUAAGUUUUAAAAACAGUUCAUCACACAUAUUUGUGGUUUUCACAGUAAAAAUGUUACUUUUUUCCACUCGGAUUUUAUGUUUUGUGUGUGAAUUUGGGUCCAUUGUGUAAAUUCAGUAUGUCAACAUGAUAAAAUAACUGUAAAUUCGCACAGGUGAGGUUGUGCUGAAAAAAAUGAUACCAGGCAAGGCACGUGAUUGUCAAAUUUUGUGUCAAUAUGACAAAGCAUAUAGGCGUGAAUCUCAACAAUAUGUAUUUUCACCUUAGGGGACAAGAAAAAAUGGACUUUUUUCUCCUGCCAUGGGGGGUGCUCUUUUGGGGAGUAAAAAUUCCUUCACAAAUGUGUUGAUGGCUGGACAUUGCAUCAUCCUAGAAAACUUGGAGGCCAGUGAGGACAAAAAUAAAAAGUUAUAAGACUUUUAAAUAUGUGGAUUUUAGGGUUAUCUUUGGCGCCCCCUAGAACCUAAACCGUGGGGUGCAGCGUCAUGAUUUGAAUAACUUUUAAUGGCCAUGGGGUGUAGAUUGGCCUGAGCAAAUGUGGUGCCGGUGGAACGAAAGCCUUAGGAGGAGUUAGCCACAUUCCAAUGUGUGCGGAUCGGCAAAAAAUGCGGAAUAACCCUUUAACUGUACAUUUGACAGAUAUGCACGCAUUGACUUUUUCGUAGAUCUUAUUGAGAUACAUGUGUGUGUCAAUUUUUGUGUCAUUUUGACAAAGCGUAUAGACGUGACACUCAACAAUGUGUAUUUUCACCUUAGGGGACAAGAAAAAAUGGACUUUUUUCUCCUGCCAUGGGGGGGCGCUCUUUUGGGGAGUAAAAAUUCCUUCACAAAUGUGUUGAUGGCUGGACAUUGCAUCAUCCUAGAAAACUUGGAGGCCAGUGAGGACAAAAAUAAAAAGUUAUAAGACUUUUAAAUAUGUGGAUUUUAGUGUUAUCUUUGGCGCCCCCUAGAACCUAAACCGUGGGGUGCAGCGUCAUGAUUUUGAUAACUUUUAAUGGCCACGGGGUGUAGAUUGGCCUGAGCAAAUGUGGUGCCGGUGGAACGAGAGCCUUCGGAGGAGUUAGCGAAAUUCCAAUGUGUGCGGAUCGGCAAAAAAUGCGGAAUAACCCUUUAACCGUAAUUUUGACAGAUAGGGCCGCACUGACUUUUUUGUAGAUCUUAUUGAGAUACAUAUGUGUGUCAAUUUUUGUGUCAAUAUGACAAAGCGUACAGGCGUGACAAUCAAUAGUGUGAAUUUCCACCUUAGGGGGCGCUAUGGAGCCAUUUUGCAUUUUAUUGUUUGGGCGACUUCAGAAUAUCAAAUUUUUCACCAGGCCCGGUCGUCCUGCCAAAUUUCAUGAGUUUUCGCCAGUGGGAAGUGGGCCAUUUUCCAGUUCAAAGGGGAGGAAAAAGAAGAAAGAAAGAAAGAAAGAAAGAAAGAAACAAAGAAAAACCACUUGGGGAAUAAUAGGGCUCUCGCAGCUGCUUAGCAGCUACGCUCGGGCCCUAAUAAUAACAAAAGAAGGAAACUACAGGAACAAGAGGGCUCUCGCAGCUGCUUAGCAGCUACGCUCGGGCCCUAAGAAAGAAACAAAGACUAGGGCCCCGUUGGGGCACUGGCGGGCCCGAGCCGUGUCGCCCCCCCCCCCCCAACGCGCUGCCUCCCCGUCCCAUUCGCGUCCUCUGGCCAUCGCCCUCUCUGGUAACGCCCAUCACUGCAAAGACCCUUUUCCUUCAUCGGCGUUUGCUGUUCUUCCUGCCAGUGCGUGUUGCUUUCACUUACACUUGCCACAGCCAGCCUCGUGAGUGCCUAGCCUAUUGGAUAUCACUGUCACCUACACAGGACAGUCAUACUUUUAAUUUCACAUUAAUUUCCAUAUUGUAUAAACGACUGGAAAAAACUUGAGCCCCUGCCCCUGUAUUAUCAUGUGCACGUCCCUGUUCUAGCUCCAAGGUGAAUCUUCACUGCUCAUGUUCUCCUCAGAAGCAGUCACCUCACUCCCCUCAGGUUACUGUACACAUGCACCAACUGCCUGCUUCAGGUUUGGAUGGAGCUUCAUGGUUGUCUUUUGGAGAAAUGAGCAGUCAAGUUGUGUUUGAAAUUUGAUUUUUUUCAGGGGCAAAAGGAAGCCUCUGCAUUCUUGUCAAAUAUGUAAAUAGCAUGUUUUUGCAGGUGCUAAAAAACAGACUCUGAGUGUGUGUGUGUGUGUGUGCGUGUGUGUGUGUGUGUGUCUGUGUGUGUGUGUGUGUGUGUGUAUCCUGCAGUACUCUGAGAAGAAUAAUAAGCAUAUUUCUGAGGUGAAUUUUGAAGAUUCAUCUGAGAGUUAGGUUUGAUUCGAUUCGAUUGACGCUCCCCAGCGUUCAAGUCACAUGACAUAUUUAACCGGAUGUAGCUGCAAGACGGAGCCUCGUUGACUCUCCGUUUCAACUUAUCUCAAAAGUGAGGACCUCAACCUAUAUACCAGUUUUUAAAUUGUGUUGAUAGGCCAAAUAAAACCAGAGUUAUGAUAAAUUAUGUCCGCGAUACUUUUUUUCUGCUUAUUUUGAUCACGUUCGGCGCUCGAUCGCGCUGUAUGAGACAGGAAAACAUAGCAUGCACACAUUAGCGACAGGUCUUACAGGCGGAAAAGGCUUGCCAAAAGAAAAAAAAAAACACACCACAACAUCUCUCCUAUUGGUGGAAAACUUCACCACAACAACCAAUCCAAAAUUAUAUGGUGACUGAUUGACAAGGGGCGGGCGCUUACGUUCUUCCUGCAACAUGAGAAGGGAGGGAGGGACUCUCAGCAGGGAUGCAGUCUGGGACACGUAGUUGCAAACCUAGCGACUUUGUUGUUAGAUUCAAUUACUUUUCAGACCCCCUAACGACUUUUUUUUAGAAAGAAAGGGACUUUUAUCGACUUCUUCUGGAGUUUAGAGACUCUGACAUGAAGCAGGCUUUCCUUACUGAGGAGUUAGCAACGCUGCUAAGGGUGCAGAGCCACACAUGCGCUCCGAGCUCUGCAUGGGAGACUGAAGCUGACAGAGCUGCAGCAGUUAGCAGGUUUCACCCUCAGAGACCACCAGGGGUUCAUGUUGAGGCAUUUUCAGUUUUUUUUUUUUUUUUUGCCAUAGACACUGUCAGCACAAUCUGCAGUUACACUAACAAAAAUGCUGCAAAAAACAAAGAAUUAUGGAAAAAUUACACAUGGACUAACAUAGAGGAGGAUCUACACAAGUUUUUUACAUCAUGUUUUACAUCAUGCAUCAUUUACAUCAUGUUUUUUUGUAGUGGCAUAAAUAAAAAGUGACAUUUGUGAGACUAUACAGUGUUUUGUAAAUAAUUUUACAAAGAACACCUGGGCCAUUGCCUGCAUUUUGAUGUCAAUAGAGGUAAAUUACUAUGUUCUUUGUUAAAAAUUUGCAUAUGUUUUGAAGUUUACAAUUUUUAUUUGAAGUUUAAGUUUUAAAAACAGUUCAUCACACAUAUUUGUGGUUUUCACAGUAAAAACGUUACUUUUUUCCACUCGGAUUUUAUGUUUUGUGUGUGAAUUUGGGUCCAAUGUGUAAAUAUAGUAUGUCAAAAUGAUAAAAUAACUGUAAAUUGACACAGGUGAGGUUGUGCUGAAAAAAAUGAUACCAGGCAAGGCAAGGUAAAAAUUUUGUAAGAGGAAAUAUAAAGGUAAAAUCUAAAGUAGUCAAAAACGGCCAAUAGUGACUCACAGACUCCACAGACAAGUCCCUUUGGCGCCACUCAGUGGGCAAAACUACUUUGUCUACUGUAAUGUAUAUUUGGGUCAUCUUUGGCGCCCCCUAAAACGUAAACCGUGGGGUGCAGCGUCAUGAUUUUUACAACUUUGAAUGGCCAUGGAGUGUAGAUUGGCCUGAGCAAAUUUGGUGUCAGUGGGACGAAAGCCUUAGGAGGAGUUAGCGAAAUUCCAAUGUGUGCGAAUCGGCAAAAAAUGCAAAAUAGCCCUUUUACCGUACAUUAUACAGAUACGCGCUCUUUGACUUUUUUGUAGAUCUUAUUGAGAUACAUGUGUGUGUCAAUUUUUGUGUCAUUUUGACAAAGCGUACAGGCGUGACACUCAACAAUGUGUAUUUUCACCUUAGGGGACAAGAAAAAAAUGGACUUUUUUCUCCUGCCAUGGGGGGGCGCUCUUUUGGGGAGUAAAAAUUCCUUCACAAAUGUGUUGAUGGCUGGACAUUGCAUCAUCCUAGAAAACUUGGAGGCCAGUGAGGACAAAAAUAAAAAGUUAUAAGACUUUUAAAAAUGUGGAUUUUUGGGUUAUCUUUGGCGCCCCCUAGAACGUAAACCGUGGGGUGCAGCGUCAUGAUUUGAAUAACUUUUAAUGGCCAUGGGGUGUAAUUUGGCCUGAGCAAAUGUGGUGCCGGUGGAACGAAAGCCUUCGGAGGAGUUAGCGAAAUUCCAAUGUGUGCGAAUCGGCAAAAAAUUCGGAAUAACCCUUUAACCGUACAUUAGACAGAUACGCGCGCAUGGACUUUUUUGUAGAUCUUAUUGAGAUACAUGUGUGUGUCAAUUUUUGUGUCAUUUUGACAAAGCGUACAGGCGUGACACUCAACAAUGUGUAUUUUCACCUUAGGGGACAAGAAAAAAAUGGACUUUUUUCUCCUGCCAUGGGGGGGCGCUCUUUUGGGGAGUAAAAAUUCCUUCACAAAUGUGUUGAUGGCUGGACAUUGCAUCAUCCUAGAAAACUUGGAGGCCAGUGAGGACAAAAAUAAAAAGUUAUAAGACUUUUAAAAAUGUGGAUUUUUGGGUUAUCUUUGGCGCCCCCUAGAACGUAAACCGUGGGGUGCAGCGUCAUGAUUUGAAUAACUUUUAAUGGCCAUGGGGUGUAAUUUGGCCUGAGCAAAUGUGGUGCCGGUGGAACGAAAGCCUUCGGAGGAGUUAGCGAAAUUCCAAUGUGUGCGAAUCGGCAAAAAAUUCGGAAUAACCCUUUAACCAUACAUUAGACAGAUACGCGCGCACGGACUUUUUUGUAGAUCUUAUUGAGAUACAUGUGUGUGUCAAUUUUUGUGUCAUUUUGACAAAGCGUACAGGCGUGACACUCAACAAUGUGUAUUUUCACCUUAGGGGACAAGAAAAAAAUGGACUUUUUUCUCCUGCCAUGGGGGGGCGCUCUUUUGGGGAGUAAAAAUUCCUUCACAAAUGUGUUGAUGGCUGGACAUUGCAUCAUCCUAGAAAACUUGGAGGCCAGUGAGGGGAAAAAUAAAAAGUUAUAAGACUUUUAAAAAUGUGGAUUUUAGGGUUAUCUUUGGCGCCCCCUAGAACCUAAACCGUGGGGUGCAGCGUCAUGAUUUGAAUAACUUUUAAUGGCCAUGGGGUGUAGAUUGGCCUGAGCAAAUGUGGUGCCGGUGGAACGAAAGCCUUCGGAGGAGUUAGCGAAAUUCCAAUGUGUGCGGAUCGGCAAAAAAUGCGAAAUAACCCUUUAACCGUACAUUUGACAGAUACGCCCGCACUGACUUUUUUGUAGAUCUUAUUGAGAUACAUGUGUGUGUCAAUUUUUGUGUCAUUUUGACAAAGCGUACAGGCGUGACAGUCAAUAGUGUGAAUUUUCACCUUAGGGGGCGCUAUGGAGCCAUUUUGCAUUUUCUUGUUUGGGCGACUUCGGAAUAUCAAAUUUUUCACCAGGCCCGGUCGUCCUGCCAAAUUUCCUGAGUUUUCGCCAGUGGGAAGUGGGCCAUUUUCCAGUUCAAAGGGGAGGAAAAAGAAGAAAGAAAGAAACAAAGAAAAACCCCUACAGGAAUAACAGGGCCUACGCCCGGCUGCUCUGCAGCUGGCUCGGGCCCUAAUAACAAAAGAAGGAAACAUGCAGGAACAAGAGGGCUCUCGCAGCUGCUUAGCAGCUACGCUCGGGCCCUAAUAAUAACAAAAGAAGGAAACAUGCAGGAACAAGAGGGCUCUCGCAGCUGCUUAGCAGCUACGCUCGGGCCCUAAAGAAGGAAACAUGCAGGAACAAGAGGGCUCUCGCAGCUGCUUAGCAGCUACGCUCGGGCCCUAAUAACUAGGGCCCCGGUGGGGCACUGUCGGGCCCGAGCCGCGUCGCGCCGCCCCCAGCGCGACCGCCUCCCCCUCACGAUCGCAUCACACUCAAGGUCCAAAGAUGGUGUGCGCACUUGUCUGUGGUCAUUUCCCAUUAUAAUGAAUGGGAGGUGCAGUUUCUACCAAAAC